GAUGAACGCUGGCGGCGUGCCUAAUACAUGCAAGUCGAGCGAACAGACGAGGAGCUUGCUCCUCUGAUGUUAGCGGCGGACGGGUGAGUAACACGUGGAUAACCUACCUAUAAGACUGGGAUAACUUCGGGAAACCGGAGCUAAUACCGGAUAACAUGUUGAACCGCAUGGUUCAACAGUGAAAGACGGUCUUGCUGUCACUUAUAGAUGGAUCCGCGCCGCAUUAGCUAGUUGGUAAGGUAACGGCUUACCAAGGCAACGAUGCGUAGCCGACCUGAGAGGGGGAUCGGCCACACGGGAACUGAGACGCGGUCCAGACUCCUACGGGAGGCAGCAGUAGGGAAUGUUCCGCAAUGGGCGAAAGCCUGACGGAGCAACGCCGCGUGAGUGAAGAAGGUCUUCGGAUCGGAAAACUCUGUUAUUAGGGAAGAACAAAUGUGUAAGUAACUAUGCACGUCUUGACGGUAACUAAUCAGAAAGCCACGGCUAACUACGUG
rnacentral:rRNA from 1 species